rnacentral:misc_RNA from 1 species
GUGAAUCAUCGAAUCUUUGAACGCAAAUUGCACUCUCUUCGGAGAGUAUGCCUAUUUGAGAGUCAGCCUAAGAAAAAUCGACGUAAUUGCUGGUUCGCGGUGACAUUCGUCAGAAAGUGGUUCAUCUUAAACCUUUGGGUUUUUUAAGCGGCUUAAAAUUUUCUUUACGUUUCCACGAACGUUUCUAAGAUUUACUUUCACUUUUAAGGUAUCGAUCUUAAGUAGACGUAUCCGUUGGAUCGGAUCGCGU